GAUAGGAAAGUAAAGACUCUAAAACUUAUGUGAAGGAAUUCAGGGAACUAAAGGGAAAGGAGUACAGCUGACCCACAUCUGGCAUAAGCUCAUAAAAACCUUGUUGCAGAUGAUGAGAUAUGAUGUGGCAAUGAGGUAUGUGCAUGGCCUGCUGUGGGGCCUCUAAAUGGUCUAGUACAUAGUUCUGAAACAAAUUGCAGGCUAAAAGGAAAGGAGUCAAACUUCACAAUUUUCAAGUUGCUUCUAUUGGCUGACUUUUCAAAGGUUCUUCAGUGGGAACUGAAAAAGGAAGUGACUGAGCUGACAGUAUAAUUGACAUUCAUCUGGGCUCUGCAAAAUUCCCCCUCCCAUGAGAUGAGGAGACAAAGAAGGAACUGAUACAACAUGCCCUCUGUGCCAAGAGAAAUAAAAUCCUUAUCUCCACCCCAGGGCUCAUGUGUCUUCUGCCAGUAUCCAUGAAACAGUAACAGACUCUAGAAUGAUGUUUUUUCUGGAAGAAGAGGUACCAGUGAAACUUAUGAGGAGCCAUCAGAGUUUAGAGUUCUUCCCUCCUGUAGACAAGUCCCUUCAACUUGAGUUGUCCGGUGCCUGUGAUGUCCUUCCAAUUUCUUUCUUUUUCAUCCUCCCAAGGUGCAUAUGUGCAUGGAAACAGCACUCACACCUCUUGAGAAGCAACUGAACUUUGUCUAUACCAACUUGGUCAACUUCAGAGGGUUGUUUUGAGAGAGGAGGAAAUACAUACUUAUUUUUUUCAUUCCAGCAGAACAAUGGCAAACAAGGGUUUUCAGUACAAUUCAAGAGACAUUUACAAAAUGACUUUUUUGUUUUCAUUCAAAUGAAAACUGCUUUAUGAAAAUUCAUGAGGAAAAAUUAUAU